rnacentral:rRNA from 1 species
AUUGAACGCUGGCGGCAUGCCUUACACAUGCAAGUCGAACGGUAACAGGUCUUCGGAUGCUGACGAGUGGCGAACGGGUGAGUAAUACAUCGGAACGUGCCUAGUAGUGGGGGAUAACUACUCGAAAGAGUGGCUAAUACCGCAUGAGAUCUACGGAUGAAAGCAGGGGAUCGCAAGACCUUGUGCUACUAGAGCGGCCGAUGGCAGAUUAGGUAGGUGGUGGGAUAAAAGCUUACCAAGCCGACGAUCUGUAGCUGGUCUGAGAGGACGAUCAGCCACACUGGGACUGAGACACGGCCCAGACUCCCACGGGAGGCAGCAGUGGGGAAUUUUGGACAAUGGGCGAAAGCCUGAUCCAGCAAUGCCGCGUGCAGGAUGAAGGCCUUCGGGUUGUAAACUGCUUUUGUACGGAACGAAAAGCCCCGGGUUAAUACCCUGGGGUCAUGACGGUACCGUAAGAAUAAGCACCGGCUUACUACGUGCCAGCCGCCGCGGUAA